rnacentral:rRNA from 1 species
ACGGAGGAUGCAAGCGUUAUCCGGAUUCAUUGGGUUUAAAGGGUGCGUAGGCGGCUUUUUAAGUCAGUGGUGAAAUCUUGCCGCUUAACGGUAAAAUUGCCAUUGAUACUGAGAAGCUUGAGUACAGUUGAGGUAAGCGGAAUGUGUAGUGUAGCGGUGAAAUGCUUAGAUAUUACACAGAACACCGAUUGCGAAGGCAGCUUACUAAACUGUUACUGACGCUGAUGCACGAAAGCGUGGGGAGCGAACAGGAUUAGAUACCCUGGUAGUCCACGCCGUAAACGAUGCUCACUCGCUGUAUGCGAUACACAGUAUGCGGCCAAGCGAAAGCAUUAAGUGAGCCACCUGGGGAGUACGAUCGCAAGGUUG